GAUGAAGAACGUAGCGAAACGCGAUAUGUAAUGUGAAUUGCAGAAUUCAGUGAAUCAUCGAAUCUUUGAACGCACAUGGCGCCUUCCAGUAUCCUGGGAGGCAUGCCUGUCCGAGCGUCGUUUCAACCCUCGAGCCCCCGUGGCCCGGCGUUGGGGAUCUGCCCAGGCAGUCCCCGAAAACCAGUGGCGGACCCGUUACAGGCCCUUCCCUUGCGUAGUAGCAUUCGCCUCGCAUCGGGAGCCGGCGGGCUUCCAGCCUCUAAACCCCCAUCAAGUCCGCCCCGGCGGCACCAAGGUUGACAUCGGAUCAGGUAGGAAUACCCGCUGAACUUAAGCAUAUCAAUAAGCGGAGGA
rnacentral:misc_RNA from 1 species